UUGAGGGUGCGAAGCCCUGUAAUGGCCUUCGUCAAGCUCCCAUCAGCCGCUGUAUUAUUUUGGUAAAAAUGUGCAACAUCUUUCUCCAAAAAUCAUGCACACCCCUCCUUUCUCAGCCAGCAGCAUGUCAAGAGCUAUGCGGUUCUGAAAAGCCAUCAGUGAAGUUGCAGCCAGCUGUUCAUGGACUGCCUCGAAACCAGCCUGUGUCCAGUUGCCCAGUCUUUGUACAUUGUAAUGGAUGUAAUUUAUUCUGUCUACGUUUUUGUUUAUUGUGCACCACCAACAAAUUGUAGAUUUAAAACCAGCCCCAACCUGAUCAACUAAUUUAUAUUCAUCAGGCACUCCACGAGGGACUCCAAUGGCAUCGAUGUAUGUCGGUUCAGUGUCUGUAUUUUUCCAUGUCACUUCACGUUUCUGUAAGUGUUGCUUCUUCUGAAACAAAACACUAGACAAAGAGAGUAUUAGAUCUUCAGCAGAUGUAGGAUAGACAUAUACAGGUAAUAACAGAGAAACUAAAGCACAAAAUCC